AGAUCUCAUUUAAGGUUUGGCAGUGGAGGUGCCACAGACCCCUGCCUACUAGAGGCCUUCUAAAGAAAAGUAGCCUAGUUUUUUAAAGAAGAAUAAUCAAAUUCAUCUAUUGGUAGCACUUUAUUGAAGUCAACAAAGGUGCUGCAAGAUUGACUAUUUUAAAAUCUUUCAGAUGGCAGCAGAGGGGCGAUCUGACACAGUGGUGUCUGACGUGGAAGUGCAUGUGGAGCAAAGGUGUGGAACUGUAUUCCUUCAUGUGAAAAUAAUGGUGCCCAUUGACAUUCAUCAACGCUUGCUGAACAUACAAGGAGACUGCACAGUGGAUAUGAGCCCGGUGAGGUGGUGGGUGCUGCAUUUCAGCAAUGGUGACAGUGGGUCACCUCUGCUGGUGAAGAACUUGGACAAGUGCGGCAUGAAGGGUCUUGUUCAUCGCUGGUGAAAAUGCACAGCUAAUGGUGAUGACUAUGAUGAAAAACACUGUUCUGUAGCUGGUAAUAUUCUCUAUCAAAUAUUGUUAUUGUGCUUUUUGCAUCUUUUGUGGCUCCCAUGGAAUUAAAUAGCAAGCAUUGUUUCUGAAGUUACCGACGUGUAUAUACUGUAAUGCUGAUGGGAAUAUUCCUUACAUUAGCCUUGAUUUUGCCUCUGUAGCAUCCCAGCAGACAGACAGUUAAAUCGCAGACUACCAGAGUACACUGACCUUUACCACAUCAUCUGUGCUUAAAUGAGCUUUGGAGGAAUUCACAAAUGACCUUGUCUGGAUUUCUUUUGGGUUCAAUUUGUGAAAAAAUAUACUCAUUCUUCUUUAGAAUUCUAAGAACUGCGCCGUAUACCCAUAUUGUUUUCAUUCCAUUACCUUUGAAGUGUGAUGCUUGAUACUGAUUGUCUCCACUCUGCUUGCAGGUGCAUUUGCUAGGUCGCAUCUCCGAUACUUAAUGCCACUAUCUGUCUUAUUAUAUUUUUUAUAUUGCUCAAUUAAUGUUUGUGCUUUAAAACCCUCAUAGCGUAUGUGAUGACUCAGAAUUUUACUGAGCUUGUGCCGCAUGUGUGACAGAGGAGCAGGGAAUAUGGCUAUAAAGGCCCAUUAAGGUCACUUGCUCUGUAGGCUACCAUUCCUCAUCCCACAGCAAUGGGACUCAUUUAAUGAGAUGUGGAAAAAUUGUCGUGCUGAUGCAGGCAGUGUAAUUGUCAAUCUUAUAAAAUAUGGUGAUGGCAAAAUAGUAGCUAAGCUGGCAUAAUUCCAGUCCUCAUAUAUUCACACCACAAACAUUUACAGUGUGUGCCUGUUAUUUUUGCUUCUGCCUGCACUAUGCUCAGAGCUAGAAAGUGGGCCUGGAAUUGAUUCCUGUCAAAUUUUAAUGUUUUGUGAAAAAAGGAAUCAUAUUAACCUAAAAUAUUUGUAUUUGCUAUUUACUUUGAUUUACUGAAUAAUGCUUACUAUUGAAUCUACUGAAUAUUCAUAGAAAUAAAAUCUUCAGGUAUAUU
ensembl:lncRNA